GCCUGGCUGGCUCAGUCAGUAGAGCAUGUGACUCUAGAUCUCAGGGUCAUGAGUUCAAACCCCAUGUUGGGCA
rnacentral:tRNA from 1 species